UCCACAGAUUCUGUGAAUAUGUUACCCAAUAUGUUACUCUAUGCGGCAGGAGAGACUUUGGAGGUGUAAUUAGGGUUCAGGUAAAUCCAGGAAAAGUUGGAUAUGGGGUCUGGCUUUCAAAUAUGGAAUACUAAAUAAGGACACUGCGCUUCUUCUCAGAAACAGUGUUUUGGAAUGAAUAGGAACCUAGGAAGCAAUAGAAAAGCAAUGCAAUGAACCUCAAAAUUCUUAGUGAUCAUCCUGCCCCCAAUACAGGAGUGAGCCUUACCUGGCUUAUAUCAAUUACUACAUCCCAGAUGUACUGUGGUGGUUGGUCUGUAUGUGGUUCUGUGUUCUAAUCUGGACCAUUGAGAAGGAGGGCAGCUUUUUCAGAAGGCAUCUGUUUUG